rnacentral:rRNA from 1 species
GACGGAGGAUCCGAGCGUUAUCCGGAGUGACUGGGCGUAAAGAGUUGCGUAGGCGGUUUGUUAAGUAGAUAGUGAAAUCAAGUGGCUCAACCAUUUGGCUAUUAUCUAAACUGGCAAACUUGACAAUGAGAGAGGUAGCUGGAAUUCCUAGUGUAGGAGUGAAAUCCGUAGAUAUUAGGAGGAACACCAAUGGCGUAGGCAGGCUACUGGCUCAUUUUGUGACGCUGAGGCACGAAAGCGUGGGGAGCGAACCGGAUUA